UGGGGAAUAUUGCACAAUGGGGGAAACCCUGAUGCAGCGACGCCGCGUGAGCGAUGAAGGCUUUCGAGUCGUAAAGCUCUGUCCUAUGGGAAGAUAAUGACGGUACCAUAGAAGAAAGCCCCGGCUAAUUACGUGCCAGCAGCCGCGGUAAUACGUAAGGGGCGAGCGUUGUCCGGAAUUAUUGGGCAUAAAGAGUGCGUAGGCGGCAAAUUAAGUCAGAUGUGAAAACUAAGGGCUCAACCCAUAGAUUGCAUCUGAAACUGAUAUGCUUGAGUCAAGGAGAGGAAAGUGGAAUUCCUAGUGUAGCGGUGGAAUGCGUAGAUAUUAGGAGGAAUACCGGUGGCGAAGGCGACUUUCUGGACUUGAACUGACGCUGAGGCACGAAAGCGUGGGGAGCAAACAGG
rnacentral:rRNA from 1 species